UAACAAAAGCACGGCCAGCUGCGGAGCUAAACGAGCUCGUGUUGCUGAAGUUAUGGCCAAAUCUUGCGUUGUCUGACGGCCACGUUUUCUUAAUUGUCUCAUUGAGUCAGCAGUGACUUGAGCAAAAUAAAUUUGGCGAAAUAAAUGAAGGACCUUUGCGUGUGUAUUGAUGAGGGCCAUCUCAUAAGCAAAUGCUAUUUUAGAAGAAAAAAUAACUAAACUAAAAUGCAAAUCAGGAGAUCAGUGGAAGCACAGAGCACUAAGUUAUAAUCCGGAACCCACGGAUUGAAGUAUUCCAUCGCCAUCGCCAUCGCCACCGCCACCAGUGGGUGGUUGUCAGUUGUCACCAUGGCUUCAAGUUACGGCAACUUCAUUUUUUUUUCACAAAAAAGCUGCAUCUCUUGCCAAGACGCCUGGACACUUCCAUUACUUCCUCUGCGCUUAUGAUCUUUCCUUCAAAAGCCGGAAAAGCACCUUUCUUACCAUCUACGCCACGUUUCCCUUUUUCCGUGAUAUAUUCUUGUAAACUAAUCUUUGUGUAAACUACUAAAUUAGAACCACUCAAUAACUAAAUCACGAAAAAGUGUGUUUCACUGCGAAGUUCCCAUGAAAUCUCAGCACCCAGUUCGUGGAUAGAUAAGAAUAGCGCAAAUGAAACACACUCAUGUUAAGAAAUAAAGAUCAUAACACGACAGAUUGCAUUACCAA